GGGGCCGACUGGAUUUGACAGCGAUCUAGUAGUGUUAGUAAGCAAACCGAGCGAUUAGUUAUAGCUCGUUAAUAUCAACUAAAAACUUUAAAUGGCGAAAAUAAAUACGCUCUUGCUGCAUAAGACUGAAUUAUAGUAGGUUUUUGCCACGUCCUACCAGGUAGGAAAGCGAGAUGUCUCAAAGUUAUUUUUGUUGACAAUAAUUUUAUAUG
rnacentral:tmRNA from 1 species